rnacentral:rRNA from 1 species
UACGGAGGGUGCUAGCGUUGUUCGGAAUCACUGGGCGUAAAGGGCGUGUAGGCGGUCUGUUAAGUCUGAUGUGAAAUCCCCUCGCUCAACGAGGGAACUGCGUCGGAUACUGACGGACUCGAGUACCGGAGAGGAAGGUGGAAUUCCCGGUGUAGCGGUGAAAUGACGUAGAUAUCGGGAGGAACACCGGUGGCGAAGGCGGCCUUCUGGACGGAUACUGGACGCUGAGACGCGAAAGCGUGGGGAGCAAACAGG